rnacentral:lncRNA from 1 species
AUGCUUUUUACGCGUCCAUCAGAAGAAAGAGGGAUGAGAAAGCCAAGAAAUCAGCGAUGGCAGGCUUGCCUCAGACUCCUUCAAGUCAAUCCCCGAUUCCCCACGCACCUAUCGAGAACCUACCCCAUGCAUGCAGAGAGGCAGGAGGAGAAGAUGACCCACACAUGGUCCCCGCAGGUGGGGUUCGCUGCUCGUGACCGGGGCCCACAUCCAGCCUCUUUCUCCCGUGGCUCCCCAGCACCCCUCCCCCAUACCAGCCUAGUUCAUGGAAUGCAGAAGGUAAGGACUAUGGGGUGGAGCAGACUUGGAUUAAAGACUGGCUUCAUCACUCUGUGGCUUGUGACACCUUAAUGAGGAGAUUCAACCUCUCUGAACCUCGGUUUCCUCAUCUGGAAAAUGGAAGUAACAGUGGAAUAUCAUGUAUCAAUCAUCCUCUGCUCCAUCUAUGCCACACUCUGCCGCUCAUGUAUUUAAAGAGAAGAAAGAAAAAGAUUUUAAAAAUCAUGUCGUACUCCGAUUAUUUAGCAGACCUGGUUCUAAAUACUCAGACUAUAAAGAUAAAUCAGACACGGGCCUUGCCUUCCAAAAGCUUACGGCCUCACAGGGGAGUCGGGUGUAAAGAAAUUUCAUGCAAUCCUUACUCCACAAAGAGACAGUAAGCAGUUCUGUCCAAUUCCAGGGCUCACACACCAUCGCAAGCCCCAUGUUCUCUUGCCCUGGCCACUGAGCUGCCUCCUAGCUGGUCUCCCAGGUCCCUCUCUGCCCCUCCUGCAGCGUAUUCUCGACAAAGCAGCCAGCAUGAGUCUUUCAAAACAUCAGCCACCUGGUGGCUUUCUGAGGUGCCUGGGUGGCUGAGUCAGUUAGGUGUCCGACUUCGGCUCGGGUCAUGAUCUCGCAGUUUUUGAGUUCGAGCCCCGCGUCGGGCUCUGUGCUGACAGCUCAAAGCCUGGAGCCUUCUUUGGAUUCCGUGUCCCCUUCUCUCUUCGUCCCACCCCUGCUUGUGCUCUGUCUCUGUGUCUUUCAAAAAUGAAUAAAGGUUAAAAAAAAAAAAAAAAAAAACA